rnacentral:rRNA from 1 species
UACGUAGGUGGCAAGCGUUGUCCGGAUUUAUUGGGUUUAAAGGGUGCGUAGGUGGCCCUGUAAGUCAGUGGUGAAAUAUCUCAGCUUAAUUGAGAGGGUGCCAUUGAUACUGCAGGGCUUGAGUACAGAUGAGGUAGGCGGAAUUGACGGUGUAGCGGUGAAAUGCGUAGAUAUCUGGAGGAACACCGGUGGCGAAGGCGACAUCCUGGACCGGUAUUGACGCUGAGGCGCGCAAGCCAGGGGAGCAAACGGG